GUAGUCUGAAUGGUUGCUGGUAACCAGCAGAAAGACCUCAGCUGGAGCCUGGGACUGCAACACGGAGGGUGCUCAAGAAACAAAGGAAGGGAGUUAUUCUUCACUGAGUGAGGGCUACAACAGCACAGACUCUGAGAAUGAAUCCAACGCAUCCCAGAGGAGGAAGGAGUUAUCACCAGGCCAGGCUGUGUCCCCAGUGCAGGCUGUAUUGCGGCUGCUCGGAGGAGAUGUCACCUCGCCAGGACCCGAGCUGAUUAUCUUCCCUUGGAUGCUUCAAAUGAUCGUCAGCUUUCUCGGAGAAGAGAAGGCGGUGAUUCAGAGGAUGAGGACGAGCCUGGUAGGAAUCGUCUCCAUUUUGUUCCUAAAAAGAGAACUCUUAGGCGUAGGAUGGCUGAACGCGUGGGUGAGUUGGUGCCUUUUCUCCCAGAGAGAGGCUGUGUCUUUUACUGAUGGAUGUCCGGAAGAAUGUGAGACUUGCCCAGUGAAGAGUGCAGUACAAAGUUUUGUCCUUGAUCUUGACAGAGGACCAUAAUGCUUGGUGGUCCGUGAGGCUUAUGUGGGCUGUUCCUGCUCUCCAUACACUGACAUUACGACUGUUAUGGGAAAGGGGUAAAAACAAACCAACAAACAAAACACAACCAACCAGAGCCAGCCAGCCCUUUGGAAGUAGGCAGACUUACUGCAUGCCAAGCGUAUGUGGCUUUUCGGUUGCUCCUUAACUCAUCUUGCUGUUUGCAGUUUCACUUACAAAGCACUGGUUUGCCAGGCUUGUAGGCCAAUUGCUUUAUUAUUUGGAUAAUGGUUGUAAGUAAUGUGCAGGUAUGGUCUGACU